AACGAACGCUGGCGGCAUGCCUAACACAUGCAAGUCGAACGAAGGCUUCGGCCCUAGUGGCGCGCGGGUGCGUAACGCGUGGGGAUCUGCCCUUUGCUUCGGAAUAACAGUUAGAAAUGACUGCUAUUACCGGAUGAUGUCGUAAGACCAAAGAUUUAUCGGCAAAGGAUGAACCCGCGUAGGAUUAGCUAGUUGGUGGGGUAAAGGCCUACCAAGGCGACGAUCCUUAGCUGGUCUGAGAGGAUGAUCAGCCACACUGGGACUGAGACACGGCCCAGACUCCUACGGGAGGCAGCAGUGGGGAAUAUUGGACAAUGGGCGAAAGCCUGAUCCAGCAAUGCCGCGUGAGUAAUGAAGGCCUUAGGGUUGUAAAGCUCUUUUACCCGGGAUGAUAAUGACAGUACCGGGAGAAUAAGCUCCGGCUAACUCCGUGCCAGCAGCCGCGGUAACAC
rnacentral:rRNA from 1 species